AGGGAUCAUUACAGAGACUCUGCCCUUUGGGUAGACCUCCCACCCUGUGUCGUUAUACCUUUGUUGCUUUGGCGGGCCGCGGGGCCCCGGCCCCGCCCCUGGCUCCGGCUGGGGCGCGCCCGCCAGAGGACCUCAAAACCUGAAUGUUAGUGUCGUCUGAGUACUAUAUAAUAGUUAAAACUUUCAACAACGGAUCUCUUGGUUCUGGCAUCGAUGAAGAACGCAGCGAAAUGCGAUAAGUAAUGUGAAUUGCAGAAUUCAGUGAAUCAUCGAAUCUUUGAACGCACAUUGCGCCCCUUGGUAUUCCGGGGGGCAUGCCUGUUCGAGCGUCAUUACAACCCUCAAGCUCUGCUUGGUCUUGGGCGUCACCGGUCCCGGUGUGCCUUAAAAUCAGUGGCGGCGCCAUCUGGCUCUAAGCGUAGUACAUACUCUCGCUACAGACGUCCGGUGGAUGCUGGCCAGCAACCCCCAACUUAUCAAGGUUGACCUCGGAUCAGGUAGGGAUACCCGCUGAACUUAA
rnacentral:misc_RNA from 1 species